GUCUCUCUCUCUCUCUCUCUCUCUCUCUCUCUGUGUGUGUGUGUGUGUGUGUGUGAGAGAGAGAGAGAGAGAGAGAGAGAGAG